GACGAACGCUGGCGGCGUGCUUAACACAUGCAAGUCGAACGAAGUGGUGAACGGGUGAGUAACGCGUAAUCAACCUGCCCUUCAGAGGGGGACAACAGUUGGAAACGACUGCUAAUACCGCAUACUGAAGGAGGGGAUUGCGUGUGAUCAGCUAGUUGGAGGGGUAACGGCCCACCAAGGCGAUGAUCAGUAGCCGGUCCGGAGGGAUGGACGGCCACAUUGGGACUGGGACACGGCCCAAGCUCCUACGGGGGGCAGCAGUGGGGAAACUUCCGCAAUGGACGAAAGUCUGACGGCGCAACGCCGCGUGGGUGAUGACGGCCUUCGGGUUGUAAAGCUCUUUUAAUCGGGACGCGGUACCGGAAUAGAAAGCCACGGCUAACUACGUGCCAGCCGCCGCGGUAAUAC
rnacentral:rRNA from 1 species